CCUACGGGUGGCAGCAGUGAGGAAUAUUGGUCAAUGGACGAGAGUCUGAACCAGCCAAGUAGCGUGAAGGAUGACUGCUCUAUGGUUUGUAAACUCUUUUUAUAAAGGAAUAAAACGAGGCACGUGUGCCUUUUUGCAUGUACUUUAUGUACAUGGAUCGGCUAACUCCGUGCCAGCGGCCGCGGUAAUACGGAGGAUCCGAGCGUUGUCCGGAUUUAUUGGGUUUAAAGGGAGCGUAGAUGGGUUGUUAAGUCAGUUGUGAAAGUUUGCGGCUCAACCGAAAAAUUGCAUUUGAUACUGGCAGUCUUGAGUACAGUUGAGGUAGGCGGAAUUCGUGGUGUAGCGGUGAAAUGCUUAGAUAUACCGAAGAACACCGAUGGCGAAGGCAGCUUACUGGACUGUAACUGACAUUGAUGCUCGAAAGUGUGGGUAGCAAACAGGAUUAGAUACCCUUGUAGUC
rnacentral:rRNA from 1 species